UAGGCAGUCUCUUCAGACUCUCCAGACGAAAGCUAAAAAGCUUCAAGCAUUCCACUGAUUAAUAACUAAAUAAUGGCAAGGCAGUAAGCAGCAAUGGCCCCUGAGGGAAGACACUGUGUUUGAGGUAACAACUCUCAAAUGUUCCAAGAGCCAAAGUCUUUGAAAAAACUGAAGGACUACACAAGUGUCUUCCUCCUAUGAGAAUCCAGUAGUCUGUCUGCAGACAUAUUGUGACAGCAUCUUUACUGAUGACCUCCAACUUUUCCUGUGGCUGUCUCUCUGACAGUCCUCUGCUGUGAGUGUGGAUAACAAAGCUUCUGGAUGGGACAAAUGUAAUGUGGACAACAUUUCCUAAGAGAGGUCACAUAUGGAAGAAUAGUAUUAAAAUUCACUGUAUAAACAUAACAAAGUAAAUAUAUUUUUCAUCAGUACACAACAUACAAGUCAAUAUUACACGGACCUGUACUUUAUGAAAUACAAGUCAUUGAAACUGAAUGAUAUGAGUUAUAAGUAGACACAUCUGGAAAAUUCAGUGACCCAAUCUUUGUACAUCAAGUCAAAAUUGGCAACUGGUGAACAAAUAGAUAUACACAUAUAUUGUUGGUUUCUAGUGUCUCCACAUAUGGUCUAGUCAAAGUUUGUGGCCUCUGCCCAUGCAGACAAGGGCAUACAAUCCAUUUCUGAGCUGGAGACAUCCACUGUAUGAUCCUUGAUGAGAGUGUAACCACAAGAACCAUGGUAAGCAGAGGAGUCCUACAGGUGAACAUGGGCCAGAGCUGGUAUCGCUCACAUUCCAGAAGUGUUUUCAGUUGAGGCAAUUUGCAGUUUGAAUCCAUGAAGAAAAAACCUGCAAACAUUUUGACUGGCGACUCAAUGCAGAACCUUCUGAAAGAGAAACCAGUGUCACACACUGACACACCAGACCCCCAUACAUAUAUAAUAUUUUGUCAUUUAAAACUAGCACCGUUUGUUGCAGCUUUCUUCUUAAACACUUCCACAAAAUUUGUUUCUCAUAAGCACAGUGCAUUUGUAUUUAAUUGCAGGUUAAAGUUAAAGCUGCCCAUGUCUAAAUAGCAUUCUAUGGAUUCAUAUGUGGUUAGAAAGUUAAAACUUCAUGCACUGUAGACCUCACAGCCAAAUGAAGAUAACUUCCCAGCUUCAUGCUCUGGCCAUUUUAACCCUGUGUAAAGUGCCUGCAGUACCCACUAGCUUUGAACCCCUCAACAUUCCAGAAAAAAAAAAAAAAAAAGAAUCCUUCCCUUUCUGGG